rnacentral:rRNA from 2 species
UCUGGUAAUGAUGGCAGAGAGGCCACACCCGUUCCCAUACCGAACACGGAAGUUAAGCUCUCUA